CAGUCGAGCGAGCGCUCACGCGGAAUUUUUCGGAAGGAAGCGGGAGUGACUUAGCGGCGGACGGGUGAGUAACGCGUGGGUAACCUGCCCCAUACCGGGGGAUAACGGUUAGAAAUGACCGCUAAUACCGCGUAAGCGCGCGAGGCCGCAUGGCCGCGCGCGAAAAACUCCGGUGGUAUGGGAUGGGCCCGCGUCUGAUUAGGUAGUUGGCGGGGUAAGGGCCCACCAAGCCGACGAUCAGUAGCCGACCUGAGAGGGUGGCCGGCCACAUUGGGACUGAGACACGGCCCAAACUCCUACGGGAGGCAGCAGUGGGGAAUAUUGCGCAAUGGGGGAAACCCUGACGCAGCAACGCCGCGUGAGUGAGGAAGUAUCUCGGUAUGUAAAGCUCUAUCAGCGGGGAAGAAGGAAGACGGUACCCGACUAAGAAGCCCCGGCUAACUACGUGCCAGCAGCCGCGGUAAUACGUAGGGGGCGAGCGUUAUCCGGAUUUACUGGGUGUAAAGGGAGCGUAGACGGCGUCGCAAGUCUGAAGUGAAAGCCCGUGGCUCAACCGCGGAACCGCUUUGGAAACUGCGAGGCUGGAGUGCUGGAGAGGUAAGCGGAAUUCCUGGUGUAGCGGUGAAAUGCGUAGAUAUCAGGAGGAACACCGGUGGCGAAGGCGGCUUACUGGACAGUGACUGACGUUGAGGCUCGAAAGCGUGGGGAGCGAACAG
rnacentral:rRNA from 1 species